rfam:Trichosporon asahii var. asahii CBS 8904 unplaced genomic scaffold scaffold00017, whole genome shotgun sequence.
GGGGAAUUCGUCUAGUGGUAAGACGCGGACUUCGCAUUGCUGAGUGUCUGAAACCGGUGUUCGAUUCACCGAUUCUCCA